CAAACAGCAAAGACUCUAGAGAAGAAAAAUACCAUCAAGUCAUUUAGUCAGCUGGACGGCAGGACCGGGUGUCUUGGAAGUCCUAGCCCUGAGGAAGAUUUGAGGUUAUGCAGCUUUCAAGAGGAAGGUAUUUUGUAUUUCCUGGGGAAGCUGCCAUCCCAGGAACUGAGAGUGGAUCAGAAGGUCUGUAGCAGGAAGCAGGGAGAUUCAACCCAAAUGGGGCUGCUGCCAAGGCAAAUCCUGUUGUUCUGGGGACUUGGUUAAACAGUCUCCUCGCUGGUCUGCAGCUGAUAGUGCCAGAUGUUUCAGGAUACUUACUUCUGAUCUCAUGGCGGGGCAUCACACCAGACCCAUUACAUGCAUGCUGGGAGAACAGAGCAACCUUCAAUCCCUAUACACGGGCUACUUAACCCUCUUGGUCUCCUCUUUCUGGCAGAAGGAGCACAGAGCAGCCAGGCGUGAGCUGUGAGAAGAUGAGGCAUCUGCAGAUGAAGUUCUGAUGCACCCACUCAUGGAGGCCAAGCUAUCCCUCCUGCAAGUCCUGCCCCGAUAAGGCUUCUCCCACCGGCUUCCCAUGGGCUUUCUGAGACUGUUUUCCAGAUGGGCUCAGGGGUCCCUCAAAUGAGGCAGCGUGGGGGAAAGACUGAAAGAACUCCGCAGGGUCACACAGAGUGCCUAGAGACCAAGGCACCAGCAUAAAGGCUACAUUUGUGAGGAGCAACAGAAAGACAGCCAAGCACUGAGGAGCAGGUGGAAGACCUGCUGGUCGUCUAACCUAUUGAUGACCCUCGAUGUGUUUAAAGAGGAAAAGAAGAUGCAUAUGAAGUCCCUGAGGAUCCUGGGAAAAAGUUGGAUGCUCUAGGAGUGGCCAGAGAGAAUACAGGAUGCACUUGGAACAUUUUGUACCAGAAAGCAAAAGAGAACCCCAAGAUUGAUAGAGCCAUGGCCAAAAGACCUACAUAGGAGCCAAUUCAAACUGCUCACACUGGCCAGACCUGGUGACCUGCGCAUCAAAAGCUAUGAUACUGACAGGGGAUGGGGAAGGGGCCCAAAGCUGCAUCAUUCAGUAAUAAUGUUCAUGAAAGAACAGAGGGCUAAGGAAAGUGUUUCUUUACAAGAAUUCUAGGUGAUACAUACAGAGUGGUUCUAUAAUACAAAACCUUAAUUUUCUAACCCACAGUAUUAUCAUUGGCAUAAGCAGGAGUCGUUAAUAGACGAUAGAGUCAGUAGGUGAAGAUUAAAAAGAUGUCUAUACAGGGACAGAGUGUUGCCCCACAAACUGCUUAUUAAUUAAAAGUGGAAAGUAUAUCUAGUGAUCCGCUAUCUUAAGUGAUCAAAUUUACCAUCAUCACUAGGGGAGGCAAUGCUUUCCGAU
rnacentral:lncRNA from 1 species